UACGAAGGGGGCUAGCGUUGCUCGGAAUCACUGGGCGUAAAGCGCACGUAGGCGGCUUUUUAAGUCAGGGGUGAAAUCCUGGAGCUCAACUCCAGAACUGCCUUUGAUACUGAGAAGCUUGAGUCCGGAAGAGGUGAGUGGAACUCCGAGUGUAGAGGUGAAAUUCAUAGAUAUUCGGAAGAACACCAGUGGCGAAGGCGGCUCACUGGUCCGGUACUGACGCUGAGGUGCGGAAGCGUGGGGAGCAAACAGG
rnacentral:rRNA from 1 species